rnacentral:lncRNA from 1 species
CCUGUUUCUAACCUUCCUUGGGACACCAGGACUGACUGGAUGGUCUUCAGAAGUUACUGUUCAAGCCGGUUCAGCCUUUGGGGAAGCCUUAGGCUAGAUCCCUGGAUCUGACUGCACUACUGUCCUACUGUGGGUUUCUUUGCUGUCUCCACCACUUAGAGUAACCAUCGAAGUUCUGAGUUUUGGAACCUCUGAAUUUGAUUUAAAAUGAAUUGAGUCUCUCUAUAACAUUUUGAUUUCUUUAAAGCACUUGAUUUGGGAAGGAACCACAAGAAAAAAAACUUUGAACAAUCCAAGGGACCAUUGCUGACCUGACCAUGUACCGCAACCCUCUCAUCUACUGCACUUGCUGGGACCCCUGGGGCCUGGGUCCGAGGAAGCUCAUCAGGACACCUCAGCCUCCACCCAAGGCCUCUUGGCGGAGGUCCAAGUUAACUCCUCUGCUACCAGUUUCAAAAGAACACAACUACCUCCAGCCCCUGCCAGCAACCAAACCCACUGUUGCCCCUAAACUGGGCAUCCAUCCUGGGAGGUGCAAAGAGACCCAG